GACGAACGCUGGCGGCGUGCUUAACACAUGCCAGUCGAACGGAAAGGCCUCUUUCGGGGGGUACUCGAGUGGCGAACGGGUGAGUAACACGUGAGUAACCUGCCCUUGACUUUGGGAUAACUUCAGGAAACUGGGGCUAAUACCGGAUAGGAGCUCCUGCUGCAUGGUGGGGGUUGGAAAGUUUCGGCGGUUGGGGAUGGACUCGCGGCUUAUCAGCUUGUUGGUGGGGUAGUGGCUUACCAAGGCUUUGACGGGUAGCCGGCCUGAGAGGGUGACCGGCCACAUUGGGACUGAGAGACGGCCCAGACUCCUACGGGAGGCAGCAGUGGGGAAGAUUGCACAAUGGGUGGAAGCCUGAUGCAGCAACGCCGUGUGCGGGAUGACGGCCUUCGGGUUGUAAACCGCUUUCGCUCAUGACGAAGCUUUGUGUGACGUUAGUGGGUAAAGAAGCACCGGCUAACUACGUG
rnacentral:rRNA from 1 species